UGUUCAGGGGUAAACCUGUGGUUCCCGAAAGUUCUAACGGGGAGAUUCAAUUGCCUCACCGGUUAUGACCAUUUAACAGUGAUAUAUUAUAUAUGAGACAUUGCAUGCGUGCGAUUUUUCGGAAUCGUAGCUGUUAUGUAGUGCUCCGCUGUUUUAUGUAAUAUUGUAUAUAGCCGGAGGCGUGCACUUCUCCCCUAUUUAGGCCGUCAUGACCUAUUGGGUGUUAUGUAAAUGGUGUCUAAGGCCCGUUAUGGAGACCGUAGCAUCAAAUUUCGGUUUGUGUGCAACGGACUAAUGGUGUCCCGAGAUCUACCCAAUAGUAAAUAUAAUGAUGAUGGGUCGCUAAAAACUAUUUAGUGAGCGUUUAGACCUAUGACAAAUGCUUGUAUGGACAUAUUUGUGGAAAUCGGAUUUUAUGCCGUUCCUACGCAUACAGUAUUGUUAGUCAUGGUGUUCUCAAACCGUUUCUUAUCAUCAGUCAAUGGCGUAUAUGUAUUGGGAAAUUACAGGACCCGUCUUGAAACACGGACCAAGGAGUCUAGCAUGUGCGCGAGUCAUUGGGACUCUGUUAAAACCUAAAGGCGUAAUGAAAGUAAAUAUUUGAUGUGUUCACCCCUUUGCGGGGGCUGAUCACUGAAAAUUUAAGGGAAGAUGGGUAACGAUAUUUAUGUUACCUCGCAUUCCCGGGGCGUCGCGUACUUAUUGCAAGUUGCGGCGCACCAAGAGCGUACACGCUGGGACCCGAAAGAUGGUGAACUAUGCCUGGUCAGGAUGAAGUCAGGGGAAACCCUGAUGGAGGUCCGUAGCGAUUCUGACGUGCAAAUCGAUCGUAUGAACUGGGUAUAGGGGCGAAAGACUAAUCGAACCAUC
rnacentral:rRNA from 1 species